UUGUAAACUGCUUUUGCAGGGGAAUAAACCCCCGUACGUGUACGGGGCUGAAUGUACUCUGAGAAUAAAGAUCGGCUAACUCCGUGCCAGCAGCCGCGGUAAUACAGAGGAUCCAAGCGUUAUCCGGAUUUAUUGGGUUUAAAGGGUGCGUACGCGGCCUAUUAAGUCAGGGGUGAAAGACGGUACCUUAACUAUCCCAGUGCCUUUGAUACUGAUGGGCUUGAAUGAACUAGAGGUAGGCGGAAUGUGACAAGUAUCGGUGAAAUGCAUAGAUAUGUCACAGAACACCAAUUGCGAAGGCAGCUUACUAUGGUUUUAUUGACGCUGAGGCACGAAAGCGUGGGGAUCAAACAGGAUUAGAUACCCUGGUAGUCCACGCCC
rnacentral:rRNA from 1 species